ACAUGCAGUCGAGCGGAAACACUUCGGGUGUCGAGCGGCGGACGGGUGAGUAACGCGUAGAUCAUGUACCCCAAAGUGAGGGAUAACCACUUGAAAGAGUGGCUAAUACCGCAUGUGGUCUUUUUUAGAUUAAAGUUUUAUACGCUUUGGGAACAGUCUGCGUUAGAUUAGCUAGUUGGUCGGGUAAUGGCCUACCAAGGCGACAAUCUAUAGCUGGUUUGAGAGGAUGAUCAGCCACACUGGAACUGAGACACGGUCCAGACUCCUACGGGAGGCAGCAGUAGGGAAUUUUCCACAAUGGGCGCAAGCCUGAUGGAGCGACGCCGCGUGCAGGACGACGGUCUUCGGAUUGUAAACUGCUUUUGUGAGUGAAGAAUAUGACGGUAACUUACGAAUAAGGGUCUGCUAACUACGUGCCAGCAGCAGCGGUCAUACGUAGGACCCAAGCGUUAUCCGGAUUUACUGGGCGUAAAGAGUUGCGUAGGCGGUUAGUUAAGUGUUCUAUUAAAUCUGGUGGCUCAACCAUCUAGCUGUAGAGCAAACUGACUAACUUGAGUGUCGAAGAGGUCGCUGGAAUUUCUAGUGGAGGAGUGAAAUCCGUAGAUAUUAGAAGGAACACCAAUGGCGUAGGCAGGCGACUGGUCGACAACUGACGCUAAGGCACGAAAGCGUGGGUAGCGAACGGGAUUAGAUACCCCAGUAGUCCACGCCGUAAACGAUGGAUGCUAGCUGUGUGAGGCAUCGACUCCUUGCGUAGCGAAGCUAACGCGUUAAGCAUCCCGCCUGUGGAGUACGAGCGCAAGCUUAAAACAUAAAGGAAUUGACGGGGACCUGCACAAGCGGUGGAGCGUGUUGUUUAAUUCGAUGAUAAGCGAAGAACCUUACCAAGGCUUGACAUCCCGCGAAGUCUCUGGAAACGGAGAUGUGCCUUCGGGAACGCGGUGACAGGUGAUGCAUGGCCGUCGUCAGCUCGUGUCGUGAGAUGUUGGGUUAAGUCCUGUAACGAGCGCAACCCCUAUGUUUAGUUGAAUUUCUCUAAAGAGACUGCCCUGGUAACAGGGAGGAAGGAGGGGACGAUGUCAGGUCAGUAUUUCCCUUAUGUCUUGGGCUACAAACACGCUACAAUGGCCGGUACAAAGGGACGCCAACUCGAGAGAGGGAGCAAAUCCUAUCAAAACCGGUCUCAGUUCGGAUUGGAGGCUGAAACUCGCCUUCAUGAAGUUGGAAUCGCUAGUAACGGUGAGUCAGCACAUCACCGUGAAUACGUUCUCAGGUCUUGUACACACCGCCCGUCAAGCCACGGAAGUCAGGGGCGCCCGAAGUCGGUUCAUUAA
rnacentral:rRNA from 1 species